rnacentral:rRNA from 1 species
AAGAGUUCUGGGCCGCACGCGCGCUACACUGACGGAGCCAGCGAGUACUUCCUUGUCCGAAAGGUCCGGGUAAUCUUGUUAAACUCCGUCGUGCUGGGGAUAGAGCAUUGCAAUUAUUGCUCUUCAACGAGGAAUCCCUAGUAAGCGCAAGUCAUCAGCUUGCGUUGAUUACGUCCCUGCCCUUUGUACACACCGCCCGUCGCUACUACCGAUUGAAUGGCUCAGUGAGGCGUCCGGACUGGCCCAGAGAGGUGGGCAACUACCACUCAGGGCCGGAAAGCUCUCCAAACUCGGUCAUUUAGAGGAAGUAAAAGUCGUAACAAGGUCUCCGUUGGUGAACCAGCGGAGGGAUCAUUACCGAGUUUACAACUCCCAAACCCCUGUGAACAUACCAAUUGUUGCCUCGGCGGAUCAGCCCGCUCCCGGUAAAACGGGACGGCCCGCCAGAGGACCCCCAAACUCUGUUUCUAUAUGUAACUUCUGAGUAAAACCAUAAAUAAAUCAAAACUUUCAACAACGGAUCUCUUGGUUCUGGCAUCGAUGAAGAACGCAGCAAAAUGCGAUAAGUAAUGUGAAUUGCAGAAUUCAGUGAAUCAUCGAAUCUUUGAACGCACAUUGCGCCCGCCAGUAUUCUGGCGGGCAUGCCUGUUCGAGCGUCAUUUCAACCCUCAAGCCCCCGGGUUUGGUGUUGGGGAUCGGCGAGCCUCACGGCAAGCCGGCCCCGAAAUACAGUGGCGGUCUCGCUGCAGCUUCCAUUGCGUAGUAAUAAAACCCUCGCAACUGGUACGCGGCGCGGCCAAGCCGUUUAACCCCCAACUUUCUGAAUGGUUGACCUCGGAUCAGGUAGGAAUACCCGCUGAACUUUAGCAUAUCAAUAAGCCGGAGGGAAAAAAAACCCAACAGGGGAUUGCCCUAAUUAACGGCCCAAUGGAAACCGGCCAACCCCCUCCAAAAUUUGAAAAUCUGGGUUUCUCGGGGCCCCAAGUUUGUAAUUUUUUU